GGGCUUUCUGUCUGGGAAUUCCCAGAGCGUCCUGGAGCUGCCCCCUCUCCCCAUGGGAGCUUGACUACUUGGGGUGAGGGCAUGGCAGCUUGGCUGUGCUUAAUGAAGGAGUCCUGAGGCAGAUAAUCACACCUUUUGUUUCUCCUGUUAUCCCUUUUCUCUUUCUAGGUGAACCCUCUGAUCCCUAAAAGCUAUGAGUUGGAAAGAGGUCUUUUAAAAAUCUAUGUGUGUGGGAUGUUAAGUAAAAAUUUUGAGACCAAGAGGUCUCUGAAAAAAAGGGUUUUUGGAGCUAGCCAACAGUGAAAGGAGCAAAGGACAGAUUUGCUAAGCUAUCAGCAGUUUGACCAGAUAGUACUUGGAAAAACAUCCACUGGACCUAAAAUGGACCUGAAAUUUUGGAGAGAAUAAACAAACCAUUUACACGGAACCUCCCUUGCCAUGGACCAGAGAAGUGGGGCAGAGUGGAAAUGGGCAAAGCCCUGGGGUAGGAGGCUGCUGCUCUAAGAGAAGAUGCUGGGUCCUGGAAAACUGGCUGAGAAAAUUCAGAACUUGCUUGGAGAUGAGAAAAACACUGCUAUGGGAGAUGCUUGUGAAAUAUUUGAGGAAAAAAGUUUUUUUUGUUUUGAAAGAUAAAAGUGGAAAAGAGAAACACAUACCACUCAUAUAACAUUUAUAAUUAUAUCAUUAUAUCUAAAGAAGUAAAUAAGUAAAUAUUGUGCCCUUUUGGUUUCCCUGAGGUUUAUAUAAGCAGGAUAAUUGCAACAUUGAUGUAUUUUCUCACUGGGAAAUAUGUUAUUAGUCUAUUGGAAAAUUUACUUAGAUUAUAUCUUUAAUGCACUGCAUAUGGAUACACACACACACAUAUGUCAGUUUCCUUUUUCUUUUUUUCUCUCUUUUGUGACAAUUUUCCUUCUUCUUUUG
rnacentral:lncRNA from 1 species